rnacentral:rRNA from 1 species
UCCUACGGGAGGCAGCAGUGGGGAAUAUUGCACAAUGGGCGCAAGCCUGAUGCAGCAACGCCGCGUGAGCGAUGAAGGCCUUCGGGUCGUAAAGCUCUGUCCUCAAGGAAGAAUAAAUGACGGUACUUGAGGAGGAAGCCCCGGCUAACUACGUGCCAGCAGCCGCGGUAAUACGUAGGGGGCAAGCGUUAUCCGGAAUCACUGGGCGUAAAGGGUGCGUAGGCGGCUUUUCAAGUCAGAAGUGAAAGGCUAUGGCUCAACCAUAGUAAGCUUUUGAAACUGUUAAACUUGAGUGCAGGAGAGGAAAGUGGAAUUCCUAGUGUAGAGGUGAAAUUCGUAGAUAUUAGGAGGAACACCAGUGGCGAAGGCUACUUUCUGGACUGUAACUGACCCUUAGGCACCAGAUCCUGGGGAGCAAAAAUGAUUAGAUUCCCUUA